rnacentral:rRNA from 1 species
CCUGAACGCUGGCGGCGUGGCUAAGACAUGCAAGUCGUACGGUGUAGCAAUACACAGUGGCGAACGGGUGAGUAAUGUAUCGCUAAUGUGCCCCGGACUCUGAGAUAGCUGCCUGAAAGGGCAGGUAAUACCAGAUGAUAUAACUUUACCGCAUGGUAAAGUUCUCAAAGGUCCGCCGGUCUGGGAGCAGGCGAUAUCGUAUCAGCUAGUUGGUGAGGUAACGGCUCACCAAGGCGACGACGCGUAGCCGGACUGAGAGGUUGGCCGGCCACAUUGGGACUGAGACACUGCCCAGACUCCUACGGGGGGCUGCAGUAACGAAUCUUCCGCAAUGCACGAAAGUGUGACGGAGCGACGCCGCGUGUAGGACGAAGCCCUUCGGGGUGUAAACUACUGUCAGGGGUUAGAAAGUUCUGAUCAACCCCAGAGGAAGGCACGGCUAACUCUGUGCCAGCAGCCGCGGUAAGACAGAGGUGCCAAGCGUUAGGCGGAAUCACUGGGCUUAAAGCGUGUGUAGGCGGAUCGUUAAGUACCUUGUGAAAUCCCACGGCUCAACCGUGGAACUGCUCGGUAUACUGGCG